rnacentral:lncRNA from 1 species
UACGGAGGGAGAUGGACUGAGACCAGUAAAGGGGCGGACCGCAACAAGCCUUUCCUCCGGUCAAGUUAACUGCCUAGGAUAUUUUACCGUGGUGAUAGAAAGCUGGCUAAUACCACAGGGAAGAAGAUACUGUCACACUUCCACAGUGGUUUGAGACUUCUGGGGCAAGCCAUACAGAAAGUCCUGGAAAAUCUUUCCUAUGCAAUGCACACUAAGAAUGGGAAAGGCACAAAGGAAGACAAGUAUGUG